rnacentral:misc_RNA from 1 species
UGCUGAAAACGGUGCCACCAGAAUCACAAUAACAAACACAAAUAUAACAGCUGAAUCAACAUUUUUGUUAACAUGAAAACGUGAUAUACAUUUUCACUGUGCUUAAUAUUGUCAGGAGAUAUGGCUCCUGAAAUUCACAUUGCCAUCCUAACUAAUGCCAUACAAGAUGUCACAGACAUACAAAGUUCAUCAAAUACAAGAAAAAAGGGGAUGAACUGGGCAGGAUCAAAAUUUACGAAUUCAUUGAUUAAAGAAUAUCAAAUGCCUUUGCUUGUAACAAUAUAAAAGUCAAGAUAUUCCUUCCAUUGACAUAUCAUCACCUAUAGAUGUGCUUAAUCUGAAUGCUAGAAACAUUAAGUAGAUUGUUAUGAGACCAACUCCUAACAUCUUGUUAGGGCGCAUGUCAUUCCGUGGUAACACAAUGAGUGACCAAAUAAGCCCUGACAUAAGAAAUCCCAUUGUAUAAAACAAACUGCUAUCGUCAGGAACUUCAUAAGAUUUAGGUCUCCUAGACCAGGCUCCAAGUAGCAUUGACAGUCCCAACCCAACAAUUGUGUUGAACAUAGGGCCUGCAUAGCACCCUGACAUUGCAAUUUGCACGCUGUCUCCACCAUUCAUCGCCAAUCCAAAAUUUGACAUCAAAUCGCCCAUCGAGUUUCCCCAUGCCAAUACAGUUAAGCCAAGGAGUGAUGGAUCAAUUCCAAAUAUUAUACCUAAUGCUACAAGCAAAGCAACAAGCUCAUUCGCAACAAUGUAGAACCAGAUGAUACUCAUAAAGAAUCCCCCCAGAACCCAUGGAAAUAGAAACUUGCGUGGCGGUUCAUCAGCUCUGGUGUACAGAUAUGCAAGAACACCAAGGACACCACCAGAAGCAACACCAAGGAAAUAUGAAAUUUCCCGAUUCAGUAUACCAAUAUCAUCCCGGGUAUUCCAUAAAAGCGCCAGAAGAAUGGGUGCCAAUGUAGCACUGGCAACAGCAUACCCUUUCGACCAUCGUUCCUCCUCAACUAUAGGAAUUGUCAAUCUUCUCAGGAGUGUCAAUGGCAUCUCCAGCAAGCAAAACAAGUUUGAACAGGAGCAGGAAGAUUGAUCGUUCACUGUUUCCACCUCAUUCCAACCCCAUUCAUUAUUUGGGCUAUCUGAACUCUCUUUCACAACUUCAUCAGAAUAAAUUGCCACAUGUGACGCCCACAUCCAGUGAGGCAGCUUAUUUUGGAGAUGUGGUACAUCACUUUUGGAGUCAGACUCCAGUAAUGACGCAUAAACUGAUUCAUCAUCUUCACUUCCCCGAGAAAAUAUACUUUCCUUCACAGGAAGCAAUUGUGUUACAGCACCCAAUCUCAAUCUCCAGGCAUGUUUCUUGAAAAUCUCAAUUGCUGCAACUGCAAAUGCAUAAAUAAAAUAAAUCGAAACAAAUGCUAUUGCACCUCCAACAGUCACCUUACCAACAAUCAAAACUAUACCAAGUGAUAGAAGAGCAAACAGAAAGAAGCAUACAUCUCUAAUAAAACAUGUCCUAUCAAUCUGAAUACUCCUCUCUGCAACACAAAGAGAGACCGUACCUACAACAAUACAAGUAACAAAAACGGCUCCCCCUAAGACACUAUUGAGACCCACUUCCCCUGUAUCCUUACCAGAAAAAGCAGCAAUACUAGCAAACACAUCAGGGGCUCCAUUCCCCAAUGGCAGCAGAGAAACACCAGCAACAGUUGGCGGCAACUUCAACAGAUUCGAUAGCUUCUCCAAGGAACAACAAAAGUAAUCCGCGGCAGUAUUUCCCAACAGAUAAAAAAGAGACACAAGCCACAGACCCAACACUAUAUAACCCAAAAUUGCAAAUUUAUGGCAAUCACAAUAGAAAAACCUAAUGUAAUUGAAAAAGCCACCUGAAGUGCACUCAGGGUGAGCAAUCAAAUAUUCACAGUGACUACUAUAGUCCUUGUGCUCAAACAACCCAGCACACACUUUCGGAUCAGUAUGCGGGACGAAAGUCGCGUCAUUGAGAGAGGUAGUAACAUUAAUUUCAGAAAUUCCCCUGCCUCUCAAGCUCCAUCGUUGAGUGAGAGUACGAGGCCAAGGCGAAUUAAGGAGAAACGGAUUCUGAGGAGAAUUCUUCUGAUUGUACAAUAAAAAAAGCAACACCGAAAACCAUAUUCCAUUGAAAAUUCCACGGAAUUGGGAACGCCGAAUUCCGUUAAACCGAUUUGGUUCUGCCAUAUUGGGCAGACGAUAGAAAUAAAAGUAUGAGAUUGGGAUUGCCGUAAAGCCGAAAUGGCAAAUAGGGAAAUUAUAAGAACAAAAUGGAGAAAGAGACAGCAAGGAAAGGCGGGAAUAUUGGUGGGGUUAAGGAGGUGAGCUUCGUCCUUCUUGGAGAUACAGAGAGAGAAUUUCCGCGUAGCUUCUUGGUGAAAUUUGUCCGUGGAUGGGGAGUUGGCGGGUUGCAGAGAGGCUUUCUCAGGUACGGCGAUGGUGAAUUCCAAUUGCGGUGCUUUGUUGUUUUCAUGUCACAGGAGCGAUUAUGGCUGCUUUCUCCUAUUCCUGCUCUGUUGUUG